AGCAGCCGCGGUAAUUCCAGCUCCAAUAGCGUAUAUUAAAGUUGUUGCAGUUAAAAAGCUCGUAGUUGAAUUUCGGGAUCAGUGGGUCGGUCGUGCCACUGGUAUGUACUGGCCCUACUGGUUCCUCCUUCUUGAAGAACUGUAGUGCCAUUAAUUUGGUGUUGCGGGGAAACAGGACUGUUACUUUGAAAAAAUUAGAGUGUUUAAAGCAGGCAAUCGCUUGAAUACAUUAGCAUGGAAUAAUGAAAUAGGACGUUCGAUCCUAUUUUGUUGGUUUCUAGGAUUGGCGUAAUGAUUAAUAGGGAUAGUUGGGGGCAUUAGUAUUCAAUUGUCAGAGGUGAAAUUCUUGGAUUUAUUGAAGACUAACUACUGCGAAAGCAUUUGCCAAGGAUGUUUUCAUUAAUCAAGAACGAAAGUUAGGGGAUCGAAGACGAUCAGAUACCGUCGUAGUCUUAACCAUAAACUAUGCCGACUAGGGAUCGGAUGAUGUUAAUUUUUAAUGACUCAUUCGGCGCCUUAA
rnacentral:rRNA from 1 species